UACGUAGGGGGCAAGCGUUGUCCGGAAUCAUUGGGCGUAAAGAGCGUGUAGGCGGCCCGAUAAGUCCGCCGUGAAAGUCCAGGGCUCAACCCUGGAAUGCCGGUGGAAACUGUCGGGCUGGAGUCCGGAAGAGGCGAGUGGAAUUCCUGGUGUAGCGGUGAAAUGCGUAGAUAUUGGGAGGAACACCAGUGGCGAAGGCGGCUCACUGGACCGGUACUGACGCUGAUGCGCGAAAGCGUGGGGAGCAAACAGG
rnacentral:rRNA from 1 species